GUACGACUAAAAUCCGUCGAUUUUAAAAAUCGUGAGGGUUCAAGUCCCUCUAUCCCCC
rnacentral:tRNA from 1 species